rnacentral:rRNA from 1 species
CAGUAGCCGCGGUAAUACGUAGGCAGCAAGCGUUGUUCGGAGUUACUGGGCGUAAAGGGUGUGUAGGCGGUUCUCUAAGUUUGGUGUGAAAUCUCCCGGCUCAACCGGGAGGGUGCGCCGAAAACUGGGGAGCUAGAGUAUGGGAUGGGAAAGUGGAAUUCCUGGUGCAGCGGUGAAAUGCGUAGAUAUCAGGAGGAACACCGGUGGUGUAGACGGCUUUCUGGACCAUAACUGACGCUGAGACACGAAAGCGUGGGUAGCAAACAGGAUUAGAUACCCGGGUAGUCCCUGUCUCUUAUAA